UGGAGAAAGAAGACUUAAAAUAUAGCAUAUGUUCACCUGUUAACUAUUCAAACUUGUGUUCAUUCCUAUUGGCAUUCAUGUCAGAGGGUGAAUGUGGACAAAACAACUCUCGACGACAAGGAGAAGCUCUCAGUCUUAUGCUCUUUCCUGAGCAUUGUCAGUUCGUUCCCCAUCCGGUGGCUAUACACUUCAGCGAAUGUGGGUCACGAGGCACACAAUCUUCUCUUUAUUGACAACGAGUAAAUACAGCAUUGAGGAGAGGUUUUAAUGAUCAUCUGAGAUCUCAGACCCACCACAAUGUGCUAUUCAUCUCUAAUGAGGAGUAAGUGUGUCACAGCGCAUUGGCUUGUUGUCUUUGGUCCUCCACGGAGAUAAAUUUAGCAUCCUGUGUUAUGGGUUCAAAACAGCAUAACCCACUGAAAUCCAAGUCUCGCCUUACAUAACAGAAGCCUUUCAGUAAUUUGCUCUCGUUUUUCAGGUUCCCAUUGUGUCCUGACGCAUCCCUGACCCACCAUCCAAACCCAGAGUGUGUCUGUCCCAGAGCUUUCCAAAAGCAGAUGACAUCAACCCCUCUCCUGAUCGACAGUGCAAGCAAGCUCAGAGAUUCCUGGUCUCCUUCUCUGCUUCCAAGUCACCAAGCUUUCUGGGCCCUCUCCAUUUCACCCGGGAUCACACUGAGCCCCCUGGAAUGUGGGAUUAAUGGCCGCUUGGGACAUCCGAGACGCUUCCAGCUCCGCACAGCACAGUCCUCUUAUCAAUAAUACCUGAUCAUCGUGAUGUCAGUGGCCAGGGGCACAUUAGCAAGUAGAUCAGAGAAAUCGCUGAUUAAAAAUUCACCCCCGAGCCAAAGAUGCAGCCUUUCGUUUCAUAGAGGGACUCAAAGCAACACUAGUCCAAAAUUAUGAUGGACUGAUUGGAUUAGCAAGCUAAGCAAAACAGAAAUUGAUGCAUUUCAACAUGAUAGCUCACAUUUUAACAGACCGUCACUGCCAAGAAGGAAUUAAUAAGCACUCUUGUUGACAGCCUCAUGCAAUCUGUGAGCAAGGCUGGCAUUUUCCAGCAACACAGUGACUGAACGCAAGACAUAAAUUACAGCAUGAUUAAAGACCCUCCUGAGAGAUGUUUAUGUAUUUUAUGCAUGGUUUUGGUCUGCUUCAUCCCCGUUUAUGCGGAUGUGAUUGCCUUUAAUUAUUGAGAGGCAUCUGAUAAUGCCAGAUGACUGCACCUCUUCUUUUAAAUUAUGAUGUAGACGUCACGUUGAAAGUGCAUUAAAAUAAAUAUAGGCUAUCUUUUCAUUCAGUAAUAGCACAUUUCAGGCUGCCGCAGUGCACUCUCUCUCUCUCCCUCUUUGAGACACGCUUUUAGGCAUCUCAGAAGUACAAAAUAUACGGGUAAACCAUCAGUACUCUUUUCGGCGCUCCAGUCGUCUGUGGUGACACGCGUCAUUACGAGGUUGCAGUCUGUGAACGCAUGCUGAUUGGUGGAUACCGAGGGUGUGUGCGCAUCAUGGACUGGCUUUCUUACAGACUCUGAUUCAGUCUAUGCUGUGAGGUAGGCACAUCCUAAACCACCGCACCAAAAAGGUAAAGCAACACACAGAGUCUCGCCAGAAUGCAAUAAAGCAGAGUACGGGCACGUUAUGCAUCCCUUGAAGCCACAGAAGCAUUCGUUCUUUCAUUUCCUGGAAAGCAAAGCUUAGAGAACUGAAAUACCAGAUUUUAAUUUAUAGGCUUUCUGUUGUAAAUAAUCUUGCCAAUAGCAUUUGAAGUGCCUAUAAAAAAGCUUUGACAGUCUAACUAUGUUUUAUUCUCCUCUCACCACGAGAGUGUGUUGACCAAAUAUUUGUCUGCAGCUUCAGCGCUGUUCAUCUAUUUUUCGCCUACGGGUGGCCGCACAAGAAAUUCUCAAUUCUCAGUAUGGCAAGCUGUUGUAACAUUUAUUGCUUAAAAUUAAGUAAUAUAUAUAUAUAUAUAUAUAUAUAUAUAUAUAUAUAUAUAUACAUAUAUACAUAUAUAUACAUAUA
ensembl:lncRNA